rnacentral:tRNA from 1 species
GGCCCUGUAUUCAGUUGGUAGAGCAUGGUGUUUGCAACGCCAGGGUUGUGGGUUCGAUUCCCACGGGGGACCA